rnacentral:rRNA from 1 species
CCUACGGGGGGCAGCAGUGAGGAAUAUUGGGCAAUGGACGCAAGUCUGAAGCAGCCAUGCCGCGUGCAUGAAGACGGCUCUCUGAGUUGUAAACUGCUUUUGUACGAGGGUAAAUCCCGAUACGUGUAUCGGGAUGAAAGUAUCGUACGAAUAAGGAUCGGCUAACUUCGUGCGAGCCGCCGGGGUAAUACGGAGGAUUCAAGCGUUAACCGGAUUUAUUGGGUUUAAAGGGUGCGUAGGCGGUUCGAUAAGUUAGAGGUGAAAUCCAGGGGCUCAACUCCGGCACUGCCUCUGAUACUGUCGGGCUAGAGUUUAGUAGCGGUAGGCGGAAUGUAUGGUGUAGCGGUGAAAUGCAUAGAGAUCA